CUAUAUUCCUCACAGUGGUCUUCAUCAUCAUCAUCACUGUCUAUAUUCCUCACAGUGGUCUUCAUCAUCAUCAUCACUGUCUAUGUUCCUCACAGUGGUCUUCAUCAUCAUCAUCACUGUCUAUGUUCCUCACAGUGGUCUUCAUCAUCACUGUCUAUGUUCCUCACAGUGGUCUUCAUCAUCAUCAUCACUGUCUAUAUUUAUGAUGUCCUAUUUAUUCUCCUGUGCAGCACUUUGGUUGUUUUUAAAGUGCUCAACAAAUAAAGUUGGAUUGGAAUUGUAACUUAGUUCUUUUCAUGUGUCACACUCUUAUUUUCUUUUCCAUUCAUCUUCCUCUCAAAGUCAUGACGAAGCCCAAAACAAGAAGCUGUCCCUAUUGUGGAGCAAGCAUCAUGCCAAUCAGAAGACCAGCUGCUGUGUUUGCCUCCUGCAAAAAAAGUCAUUCAAAGAAAAAGAAAAGGCAGUUUAGCAAGCUUGCUGCCUUGGGCUACAACCCAAUGUUGUUCAUCAGGAAGAAGAAGAAGAGGGUGAACACAGUAAAUGCUGAAAUGAUCACCUACAUGUGCCCUGGAGGGGACGGGCCUGUAAAAGCCUUUUUAGAAAAGAUGAGCAGGGCAUAUGAGUACAUUAUUAAAAUUAAGGCAAACAUCUGUUUUUAUGAUUUAUGCUUUGGGAUGUUCUGUCAUUGUGAGUAAUAUUUAUAUUUAUAUUAUUUCAGAUUCUCAAAGGAUGCAAUUGCCAGAAGCUCCCAGCCCAUCUCCAACUCCACAGUCUACCUCCUCUCCCUCCCAACCCUCUUCUCCUCCUCAUCCUCCAGACCCUUCCACCUUUCUCCCAUCUACUUCUCAUCCCCAAAUGGACUAUGAGGAGGAGACUUACACCCUAACCCUUGUCCCUGUCCGGCCUCCAAGCACCGCCUCAGCAUCUCCCUCUCAAAAAACCAUGACUGAAAGUGUGUGUGCACAGUGCUCCCGCUCUCCCACACCUACUAUCUCCCUGACCAGUGCAACAGGUGAAGGGAAGAAAAAGAGGAAGAGAGGGAAGAGAAGAGGUAAAAGUGAGCUGGCUGCCUUGUUCCUCAUGUGGCAAAACUUGGGAAGACACCUGGGAGCCUGCCAGCAACUUUAUAGGCUCCAUUUAAUGUUUUUGUUUGUGUGUCUUUAAGACACCUGUAUGUUGAGUGUUGUUCUCUCUCUCUCUCUCUCUCUCUCUCUCUCUCUCUCUCUCUCUCUCUCUCUCUCUCUCUCUCUCUCUCUCUCUCUCUCUCUCUCUCUCUCUCUCUUCCUCUCUCUCUCUCUCUCUCUCUCUCUCUCUCUCUCUCUCUCUCUC